ensembl:lncRNA
GGCAGAUAUGCUGUAAGACCACAGCUCCGGGCACUGAAUGUUUCUUUUUUUUCCCACUUUUUUAAAAAUUUUCUUUUUCCAGCAGAGCAGGGCAUGAUCCGCUGUGGGCGAAAUAAAUACCGGCUGCUAAUUGCCUGUGCCAAGCGAAUGCCAUACCCGAGCCCUAAUGGAGCGAUUAACCCCGGAGCAGCAGGAUAGCCCUGACCUCUGCUUCCAGCUGACUUCUGCCAUGAGCACAGCAUCGGAGGGGCAUCUUCAGGGGGAGAUGAAGCUGGUUCACCGGUCUGGAGCUGCUGGUCCUUGGAUGAGUGGAGUCUGAAAAAGUGGCUGGAAGGGGCAGUGAGGAAGAGGAGAG